GACAGAGGUGCCAAGCGUUAGGCGGAAUCACUGGGCUUAAAGCGUGUGUAGGCGGACUGGUAAGUACCUUGUGAAAUCCCACGGCUCAACCGUGGAACUGCUGGGUAUACUGCUUUUCUUGAGCCACUUAGGGGCUGUCGGAACAAACGGUGGAGCGGUGAAAUGCGUAGAUAUCAGGAGGAACACCAAUGGCGAAGGCAGCUCGCUGGAACGGUACUGACGCUGAGGCGCGAAAGCGUGGGGAGCAAACAGG
rnacentral:rRNA from 1 species